rnacentral:rRNA from 1 species
CCUACGGGUGGCAGCAGUGAGGAAUAUUGGUCAAUGGGCGUAAGCCUGAACCAGCCAAGUCGCGUGAGGGAUGAAGGUUCUAUGGAUCGUAAACCUCUUUUAUAAGGGAAUAAAGUGUGGGACGUGUCCUGUUUUGUAUGUACCUUAUGAAUAAGGAUCGGCUAACUCCGUGCCAGCAGCCGCGGUAAUACGGGGGAUCCGGGCGUUAUCCGGAUUUAUUGGGUUUAAAGGGUGGGUAGGCGGCCUUUUAAGGCAGCGGGGAAAGUCGGGGGCUCAACCGUAGAAUUGCCGUUGAAACUGGGGGGCUUGAGUUUGUUUGAGGCAGGCGGAAUGCGUGGUGUAGCGGUGAAAUGCUUAGAUAUCACGCAGAACCCCGAUUGCGAAGGCAGCCUGCCAAGCCAUGACUGACGCUGAUGCACGAAAGCGUGGGGAUCGAACAGGAUUAGAUACCCGGGUAGUC